rnacentral:rRNA from 1 species
GACGAACGCUGGCGGCGUGCUUAACACAUGCAAGUCGAGCGAUGGAGUUCCUUCGGGAAUGGAUUAGCGGCGGACGGGUGAGUAACACGUGGGUAACCUGCCUCAUAGAGGGGAAUAGCCUUUCGAAAGGAAGAUUAAUACCGCAUAAGAUUGUAGUAUCGCAUGAUACAGCAAUUAAAGGAGUAAUCCGCUAUGAGAUGGACCCGCGUCGCAUUAGCUAGUUGGUGAGGUAACGGCUCACCAAGGCGACGAUGCGUAGCCGACCUGAGAGGGUGAUCGGCCACAUUGGGACUGAGACACGGCCCAGACUCCUACGGGAGGCAGCAGUGGGGAAUAUUGCACAAUGGGGGAAACCCUGAUGCAGCAACGCCGCGUGAGUGAUGACGGUCUUCGGAUUGUAAAACUCUGUCUUCAGGGACGAUAAUGACGGUACCUGAGGAGGAAGCCACGGCUAACUACGUGCCAGCAGCCGCAGUAA